ACACUCCUACGGGAGGCAGCAGUGGGGAAUUUUGGACAAUGGGCGAAAGCCUGAUCCAGCAAUGCCGCGUGAGUGAAGAAGGCCUUCGGGUUGUAAAGCUCUUUUGUCAGGGAAGAAACGGUGAGAGCUAAUAUCUCUGGCUAAUGACGGUACCUGAAGAAUAAGCACCGGCUAACUACGUGCCAGCAGCCGCGGUAAUACGUAGGGUGCAAGCGUUAAUCGGAAUUACUGGGCGUAAAGCGUGCGCAGGCGGUUUUGUAAGUCUGAUGUGAAAUCCCCGGGCUCAACCUGGGAAUUGCAUUGGAGGCUGCAAGGCUAGAAUCUGGCAGAGGGGGGUAGAAUUCCACGUGUAGCAGUGAAAUGCGUAGAUAUGUGGAGGAACACCGAUGACGAAGGCAGCCCCCUGGGUCAAGAUUGACGCUCAUGCACGAAAGCGUGGGGAGCAAACAGGAUUAGAAACCCCUGUAGUCCCAU
rnacentral:rRNA from 1 species